rnacentral:rRNA from 1 species
UCUGCUGGCUCGCAAGGGCAUGUGCACGCCUGUCUCAUCCACUCUCAACUUCUGUGCACUUUUCAUAGGCCGGCUUGUGGGUGCGUUCGCGCACUUGUAGGUGUCGGGCUUAUGCUUUACUACAAACGAUUCAGUUUUAGAAUGUCAUACUUUGCUAUAACGCAAUUAUAUACAACUUUCAGCAACGGAUCUCUUGGCUCUCGCAUCGAUGAAGAACGCAGCGAAAUGCGAUAAGUAAUGUGAAUUGCAGAAUUCAGUGAAUCAUCGAAUCUUUGAACGCACCUUGCGCUCCUUGGUAUUCCGAGGAGCAUGCCUGUUUGAGUCUCAUGGAAUUCUCAACCUUCAGCUUUAUUGAUGAAGGCUUGGACUUGGAGGUCGUGCCGGCUCUCGUAGUCGGCUCCUCUGAAAUGCAUUAGUGCGAACGUUACCAGCCGCUUCAGCGUGAUAAUUAUCUGCGUUGCUGUGGAGGGUAUUCUAGUGUUCACGCUUCUAACCGUCUUCGGACAAAUUUCUGAACUCUGAGCUCAAAUCAGGUAGGACUACCCGCUGAACUUAAGCAUAUCAAUAAGCGGAGGAA